rnacentral:lncRNA from 1 species
CAAAGGAGUAAGUUCAGUAAGGGCCAUAUUUGGCCCCAAUUAUAAAGUUCAUAGUUACAAGACAAUAAAUGUUUUAAGUUGCCUUAAAGACAUGUUAGAAAGUUAAACAGAACUGUUUUUGUCAAAGUUUAAUUCUAACACGUUGAUUUUUACAUCCAAAAAAGAUAAGGGAUUUUGGUGAAAUUUGACAAAAUCAGCUAGAUUUCAACCAAAUAAAGGACCAGGAAACAUAGAGCGCAGGCGUCGACAAGCUUAAGAUUCAAAUAAGACAUGUGAAAUGUCUCAGGGCUCACACUACUUUAGAAUUAUAGGGAGAAGUGACUUCUCUUUUUGAAACUGAUAGGGAGAAGUGGUGAGAUUUGAAAGAGAAGUGCUCA